CGAAAACAAACGUAAUUGUUUGCCUUCUUCAAAUAAAGCCACACAGAGCCGCAACAACAACAUUUUACGAAGACAUCGACUAAAUGGGCACGUUUUUCUCCUUAUAGGUUUCACGUGCACACUUCGUGACUACAGUCUCGUUUUUGUGGUCGAAGGCUGCACGUUGUGCUGAAAUGAAGGACUUCCAAGCUCCAUUUCAGUUGGAUCUACAAAUAUUCUUUCACCAGAAAAGCGUGAUUAAAUUCUUCUUUCAUAUCUUUUAAAUGGACUUGUGAUACUGGAAUCGUUUUUAUGAUGUUAAAAAUCGGAAGGACCAACUGCAAGCAUUGUCAUAUAAUGGUUUUUAAACACAACCUUCAGUGUCAAGCAUAAUAAUUGUACGAAAGAAUAGCUUUUGUCUGCAGGUAAAUAUUGCUCCUUGAAUAAGGACCGCUGACAACAUUGAAAAAUUGUGAAAUUUAAGAAGAGUGCCCUCCAUCUCUGCGUUAUCUCAUUUUGCUAUGUUAAGGGCAUUGUGAAAUCCGGUGACUGCUGUGAUCCUCCCGUCGUUCAUCCUUCUAGUAAUUGCUGGGAACCUGCACGAUUGUAAAGCAGCACAGCGCUGACCUUCUAAAGCCUCCACCCGACUACACCGCACCUCCGUCCCAGAAUCCAUGGAAGCCAAGGCCAAGUCAGGUCCUUUGCCCAAAGGGCUGUCGAAAGCAGAGAAAAGGGAGCCGGCAGCCCCACGUAAAGCCGAACCUGCCCCCACGACGCCAGAUCCAGAGAUUCCUCCUCCCCAGGAUGAGGCAGCAGAAGGCAACACUGGAGACGGGGCUGCGGCCAGCUGCACAGACUCUCUGGAGCACCUAAAACCUUUCCUCAUCACUGGUGCUGUCAUUGCACUUGGGGCCAUUUUGGUGGGGGCGAUGCUAUUAGCAAGAAGAAAUUAAACGCAGAAUCUCAAAAAGUAGCUCCAUUUAAAAUUGGUUCACAAAUCCUUAUGGUUGAUAUUGAAAAUGGGGAGUUGCUCUUUUUUGCAGGGGGUAGGUGGUUAGUAAACUUAAAAAAAUGCAAGGUUUAUUAGAAACACCAUAUGCAUGACAUUUGAAUUUACAAUCUAUUAAAACUAGACAUUAGGGCUGAGCAUAGAAGACAAAACUUUGUGAGAGGUUUUAUUUUGCUUUAUAUUAUUUGUUCCAGUCUUGACAAAAACCCAGAAUAUUUACAUUAUAAAUGACCUACGUUCAAUUUAAAAAGAACUUUAGAAAAUUGUACUUCUGGACUGAAAAUAAUAUAAUUUAUCACCGAUUCUAGGAUUUUUUUGACUAUGAAAUCCAAGAGCAGACAUGGAAAAAUGCAAUGUUAAAUAAUCAUUGAACGAAGUACAAAUACAAAAUACUUAUGCUGA